GGUUUUCCAGGUUCCCCGGCUUGCUACCGGGCUGCUCCGUGCAUCUUUCCCCCCAGGCGUCAGGAACUGCGCCCUCAUGGCGGAGGUGAAGGUGAAGGUGCAGCCGCCCGACGCGGAUCCGGUCGAAAUAGAAAACAGGAUUAUAGAAUUAUGUCACCAGUUCCCUCAUGGAAUCACAGACCAAGUAAUUCAGAAUGAAAUGCCUCAUAUAGAAGCCCAGCAGCGGGCAGUAGCCAUCAAUAGGUUGUUGUCUAUGGGUCAGUUGGAUCUCUUAAGGAGCAAUACGGGCCUUUUAUAUAGAAUAAAGGACUCUCAGAAUGCUGGGUAAGUACUUGUUUUUUUAAUUUUAAAAAAAUGUUUAUUAUUGCAAAAGCAUGUGUUGGGAAUAAAGCUAAUACAAAAUUACAUAAACCUGUCCUGUGUAU
rnacentral:sRNA from 1 species